AUGAGAAAUGAGAUUCAAUCCCAAUCAUUCAUUUGUUAUAACAGAUUUUUAAAAUCAAGGGAUGAGAUGUUUCUACCUAUAGCAAACUUCUCAGACAAGCCAGGCCAGCUGAUAUAUAACAGAUUUCAUCUUCAGAUUCAAGAAGAAGAAAAAGAGAUGAGGAGGACGAUCUUCACUUCUGCAGACGAACUUCUCAUAGAAGUUUCAGAGUUCUCUCUGGAAUUCUGA